GCUGCCAUUUUUUUUUGUUUUUAAAUCAAAAAGUUGUAAAAGUCAGCGAGAACGUGGUCGUGUGGUCGUUAGUUGUAGCAGUGGUGGCAAUUUUGAUCUCCAUCUGAUCUUUCUUUAUUAAAAAGUUAACAUCCAAAGCGAGAAAAUUCUAGUAACGAGGUGCAACAUGAGUGCACGAAAUAUCUUCGUUGGUUUUCCCGACGGCGACGUUCCCAAAUCACAUACACCCCAAAAAGGACGUGCCCAUAUAGACAUAUUUUCAUCUGUGCCACCGACCAUUACGCCGAAAAAAGUGAAUGCUUCCAAGUCCAGUAUUCAAGAUAUUUUAACGCAAGAAACUGAUAAAGUGGAAACCAAUGGUAAUCCGCAGCCAAAAGAGGAUAAGACUGAGAAUAAUAAUACAACGGCGAAAGCUACAUUUCCAACCCGAGUUCGUAUGCCUCCAGGUGGACAUUCGUGUGGUGGAUUUUGGUGAUUUUUAAUGAUCUACGGGCCUUACUUUGUAAGUACAAAUUCGCUAAGUAUCAGUUUCUUAAAUAAAGCAGCAGCACCAUUAGUUUACACUUGUUAUGAGUUUCUUUCCUUUAAAGUUUAAAGAAAAAAACUGCAGCCAAUCCGCAGCAUUGUGCUUCAAAACGCGAAUUUGUACUUACUUACAAAAAUAUGACAUUUAGACAUAUGGCCCGUGGGAUUAUUAUAAAAUCAAUUUUUCAAAAAAAAAAUUAUUUGUAAUUUUUUAUAAAUAAAAGUCAUUUUUGCUUAA